rnacentral:tRNA from 1 species
GAAUAGAGUGGUGUAGUGGUUUGAGUGUUGGACUAUGACUCUGGAGACCAGGGUUCGACUCCCAGCUUAGCCA